CGGAGAGGAAGAAGAACGGGAAAGAAAGGAGUUGCAAUACAUACACACUACAUUUAAUCAUUGUCAUAGCCGCGACCUUAGUUGGGAGAGUAAACCGUUAGCAGCAGAAGGUCGCAACUCAUUUGAGUAGAUCUGGCGACUCCGGCGAGGUGAGUUCGGCAGCAGCAACCGAAGCUUGAAGGUUCUUCUUGCAAAUCUUCGAAGGCUUGUAGCUUGAAGCCUUAGCAGCGACCAAAGCUUGAAGCGCUAGCAGCAAAUCUUCAAAGGCUUGUAGCUUGAAGCCCUAGCAACAACCGAAGCUUAAAGCCCUAGCAACAAAUCUUCGAAGGCUUGUAGCUUGAAGCCCUAGUAGCAACCGAAGCUUGAAGGCUCUAGCAGAAGCCCUAAUAGCAAUUGGAGUGACCCCCAUUUCCCGUCUGUAAGCCAAGAACCAAAGGUAAGUGUUGUGUAAGCGUCAACAUUUCUUAGAGUUCAACCUUAAGGGAUGCAACCUAGAGGACCAACCCCAUUGAAGACAAUAUUAUGUGUUCCCACUUGAUGGAGUAUGGAUUUUGCUGCUCUAGUCUUCUGAAAAUAAGCUAAUGCAAGCCGCUGCUUUGGUCUUCUUAGAGAAUGGACUCUAAUUUUAUUCUGGAUUCUGCUUCUGGUCUUCUCAAAAUAAGUUAUUUGAUCAUCAAAAGAUAGGGCAGCUAUGCCUCUGGACUCAUACCCUUGAAGGUCCUUUGAAAGGGGCAUUUAAUCAAAAGGCCAGCUAUGUUUGGGAGCUUGUAGCAUUUAUCCAUGCUGCCUUAAGAACAGGAGAGCUCUGUUCUCCAUUGAUUUGAGUCCAUAAGCUUGAAUCUUUAUUGUUGUGUAGUAUUCUAGUUUUAACUCUUCUCAUAUGUAUAGCGUUGAUUUCGAUAUCUAUUUUUUUUACAGACAUACCAUGUCAUUUAGUAGUGAGAAUGACUCCUCCAACUCCAAAUGUCCAUUAAAUUAUCGGAAUGUAAGAUGUGGAUGUAAUAGGAAGGCAUCAGUGAGGAUUUCUGAGCCUAUCCGGAAUAUGAAUAAGCUCUACUACUGCUGUCCAGAGUUUCCAAGAGGAGGAUGUGGUUUUUUUUUUCAUGGUGUUUACCAGUGAAAGGAAUUCCUGAAACUACUACACAUGAAACCACAAUAUGUGAAAGACUUAUACAAAUGAAAGAACAUAUGAAGGAUGAACUAUAGAAAUUGACUGAAGAAAUCCGCACUUUGAAGAAUAGCGUGAAUGUGAUGGGUCAGGUUAUAAUGGUUAUUGGUGUUAUCUUUUUAAUGUAUUUGACUGGAUAAAGCUUGCUAGAACUUAUGAAGGACAUAUCAAGUUGUAAGUUGUAAUAUGAAUGAAAAUGUGGUUGAUAUGAAAUUGUUUUUUC